AAGACAUUAAGUUAAUCAAACUAGUGGUCUUCAAAACCACCAAUAACUUUUGGGUUAUGUCUUG
rnacentral:tRNA from 1 species